CAAGCGUCGAGCGGCGGACGGGUGAGUAAUACUUAGGAAUCUACCUAGUAGUGGGGGAUAGCACGGGGAAACUCGUAUUAAUACCGCAUACGACCUACGGGAGAAAGGGGGCAGUUUACUGCUCUCGCUAUUAGAUGAGCCUAAGUCGGAUUAGCUAGAUGGUGGGGUAAAGGCCUACCAUGGCGACGAUCUGUAGCUGGUCUGAGAGGAUGAUCAGCCACACCGGGACUGAGACACGGCCCGGACUCCUACGGGAGGCAGCAGUGGGGAAUAUUGGACAAUGGGGGAAACCCUGAUCCAGCCAUGCCGCGUGUGUGAAGAAGGCCUUUUGGUUGUAAAGCACUUUAAGCAGUGAAGAAGACUCCUCGGUUAAUACCCGUGGACGAUGACAUUAGCUGCAGAAUAAGCACCGGCUAACUCUGUGCCAGCAGCCGCGGUAAUACAGAGGGUGCAAGCGUUAAUCGGAAUUACUGGGCGUAAAGGGAGCGUAGGUGGCUCGAUAAGUCAGAUGUGAAAUCCCCGGGCUCAACCUGGGAACUGCAUCUGAUACUGUUGAGCUAGAGUAUGUGAGAGGAAGGUAGAAUUCCAGGUGUAGCGGUGAAAUGCGUAGAGAUCUGGAGGAAUACCGAUGGCGAAGGCAGCCUUCUGGCAUAAUACUGACACUGAGGCUCGAAAGCGUGGGUAGCAAACAGGAUUAGAUACCCUGGUAGUCCACGCCGUAAACGAUGUCUACUAGUCGUUGGGUCCCUUGAGGACUUAGUGACGCAGCUAACGCAAUAAGUAGACCGCCUGGGGAGUACGGCCGCAAGGUUAAAACUCAAAUGAAUUGACGGGGGCCCGCACAAGCGGUGGAGCAUGUGGUUUAAUUCGAUGCAACGCGAAGAACCUUACCUGGUCUUGACAUAUCUAGAAUCCUGCAGAGAUGCGGGAGUGCCUUCGGGAAUUAGAAUACAGGUGCUGCAUGGCUGUCGUCAGCUCGUGUCGUGAGAUGUUGGGUUAAGUCCCGCAACGAGCGCAACCCUUGUCCUUAGUUACCAGCGGGUUAAGCCGGGAACUCUAAGGAUACUGCCAGUGACAAACUGGAGGAAGGCGGGGACGACGUCAAGUCAUCAUGGCCCUUACGACCAGGGCUACACACGUGCUACAAUGGUAGGUACAGAGGGCAGCUACACAGCGAUGUGAUGCGAAUCUCAAAAAGCCUAUCGUAGUCCAGAUUGGAGUCUGCAACUCGACUCCAUGAAGUAGGAAUCGCUAGUAAUCGCGGCAUCA
rnacentral:rRNA from 1 species